AAGUCGUAACAAGGUCUCCGUUGGUGAACCAGCGGAGGGAUCAUUACCGAGUUUACAACUCCCAAACCCAAUGUGAACGUUACCAAACUGUUGCCUCGGCGGGAUCUCUGCCCCGGGUGCGUCGCAGCCCCGGACCAAGGCGCCCGCCGGAGGACCAACCAAAACUCUUAUUGUAUACCCCCUCGCGGGUUUUUUUUAUAAUCUGAGCCUUCUCGGCGCCUCUCGUAGGCGUUUCGAAAAUGAAUCAAAACUUUCAACAACGGAUCUCUUGGUUCUG
rnacentral:misc_RNA from 1 species